GCCGGGUCAAAGGUGGUAGACAUACACAUCUUUGGAACGCGGCUGAAAAUAAAAACAAGAUUAUAUAUAACAAGUGUCACAGACCACAGUCCAAACACCACAUGCACAACUGAUCACAUGCAACGUGCAGUAAGUGACGUCGGGUAAUGCCACAAAAAAAGUGAUUGCCGAUUGGUACGAGAAUGAUAAACAAUUGUACCGGCAAACGGACCGGUUGCCGCCUUGCCGGAUGACGGACCUACCUGUUGUUGUCGAAUCCACGAACUCGUAACGUCAU